rnacentral:misc_RNA from 1 species
UGGUGCGAGCGGUGCUUUCCU